UAUAUAAACUUGGCACAUACAAAAAGCUCUAGGGUUUAAGCACGGUUUCUGUUAAAGAGAAGGGAAAGAUGUUUUUGGGCGCGUUUCCUCGGAAGCCGGACAAGGCGACUGCGCUGAAGCAGCUGAGGACUCAUGUGACGAUCUUCGGAGUGGUGGUGAUCGUGAUUCGAGUUACUCCUUACAUUCUCCAUUACCUCUGCGAAGAAAAGGAAGAACUCAAACUGGAUCUCUGAUGCUCACUUCGCUGUUCUGAUACGAGGCCUGAGUGUGGCGAAUACUUCAAUUCUUUGCUUUAUACAUGCGUAGGAGAAGAAGAAGAAGAAGAAAACAAAGUCUUCCUUGUGAAGUGAACCAAAGGUUCGAUGAUCAUUACACUGACUUGUUGACUGAAAUAUGUUAUAGUGGACGUAGAAGGGAGAGGAUCAGGAUGAUGGAAAUUUGCAGUUCUUAGGCUCAUUUUUUAUUGUUGUGUAGCAGUCGUGGUUGUGUGGCCAACUUUCCCUGUUGAUCCUAUGCCAAGGGAUAAAAUUGUAUAUGAAUGAUUUUCUAUUGAGGUUUACUCAUUUGGAAAAUUAGAUGCCUUCUGUGUUUUAUAAAUUCUGUGGGCCAAUGAAGUGCUCAUGGUCUUUGCAUGUAUUCUGCUAAAACGUUCACCAUGAAUCCAUCUUAAAAAGCUUAUUGUCGGUUGACUAUAACUGUGUAAGCCAUAUAAAGUUUUCUCUA